rnacentral:rRNA from 1 species
UACAGAGGUCUCAAGCGUUGUUCGGAUUCAUUGGGCGUAAAGGGUGUGUAGGUGGCGCCGUAAGUCAGGUGUGAGAUCUCGGGGCUUAACUCCGAAACUGCAUUUGAUACUGCGGUGCUUGAGGACUGGAGAGGAGACUGGAAUUCCUGGUGUAGCGGUGGAAUGCGCAGAUAUCAGGAGGAACACCGGUGGCGAAGGCGGGUCUCUGGGCAGUAACUGACGCUGAGGAGCGAAAGCGUGGGGAGCGAACAGG